CUCAUUGAGACCGGCAGAGGGACAGGCCCUUGGACGCCGGGGCAACCUUCGGGGGUUAACCACUCCGAAAAGGUGCCAACUCCUGCGGAAGCCCAUCGAGGUUUCCGGGAAAUGAG
rnacentral:ncRNA from 1 species